CCCCCCAACCCAACAUCUCAGGAACCGAGAAAGAAUGAAAACAAAAUCCCGAAAAGAAUGAUAAAAAAAAUAGAGAAAGACGACAAAAAAAAAACUCUUAACCCCGCCGGCUUGCGAUUGUGGGACUCGAAAAGGAGGGAGGAAAACAAAAUGAAGAAAACUUGGAAAUCCAACCUCUUUUAGCCUACCGCAUCCCAACUAACAGAGCCAGAGGCAGAGAGAGACCAAACGGCACGGAGAAAGAGAUCCCGAGCCCGGCCGCGGCAGCAAAGCGAAAUCCCCCCCUCGCACCCUCUCCCUCGGAGAAAGACGGACCCUCACGCCGAGCUCCAGGCUUCAUCUGCCGGCUACGACCCCGAGCAGCUGGCGGCACCUCCAGCAGCCCUCACUCCCGCGCUCGCACCGUGGCAUAUCCACCAGCCCUGCUCUCAUCCUCUCAAACCCCAAGCAGAUAGAUAUCACAUUUACUUCAACAGACCGCUCGCAAGCCCCCAAAAAAAACAUUGCGUUAAAACAAUGCUGGUAGUGGGGUCGGGACUGUGUUGACGGCUGGUCGAGAUCAGGUUGGUGCGGAUGUAAACAUGCAGCCCGCAACACGAUAUGUGGAAUUACAAGAUAAUUUCAAAAGUAAACGAGUGCAACUUGAGUUUUGAUUGCAAAAUAAUUGAAUACAGAUAAUUGGCAACGGUUUACAUAUUGCAGUUUGCAAAAGCACUGAGUGGAGUUUGCUGACCUGUUGCCCUAAAGGUCUAUGGCGUCGGUGGUUUCAUUGCAGCAGCUGAGAGGCUCAGAGCAUGGAAUUUCCCUUCGUAUCGACCUUCCAGCCAACCAACACCUCACCUGAGCGCCUCACGUGAUCUCCCAGGACCAACAUUGUGACGUCUCCCACCGACAGGUGACGCGUUCGAUUGCAAAGGUUGUCGAAGGUGCUGCUUCGCAAAGGGUUGUGGGCGUUGUAGUCCACAAACGUGCUUCGGUUACAUUUGACUUGUUCGGACCUCGUCCUAAACGGACUACAAUACCCAGAGAAAAAAGGCAACCUCAUGCUUGGCCAGGAAAGUGCUCGCUUGCAGGAGUAUCUAAUCUCCAUCUGGUAAUGUGCAGGAAGGAACUUCAGAUGCUGGCUUAAACCGAAGAUAGACACAAAAAGCUGGAGUAACCCAGCGGGUCAGACAGCAUCUCUGGAGGAAAGGAAUUCCUUUUGUGAACUGCAUUUUUUUGUGUCUAUCUUCCAUCUGCAAAUUCAAUGUUAGCAAUGGAUUAUUUGCUCAUUCUUUCAGUUAGUGGUCACUAUGCAAUGAUAGUUUACCCACUGGUCAUUUAGAUACAAGUCUUUGCAGUAUUCGUUUUAUAACCUGAGAGAUUUACACUUUCAUUCGUGUCCGCUAGCACAGAACGGGGCAUUUCAAUACAUUUCACUCUCCUGCAGUUUAUAUAUUGAAGGCAUUCUCAACAUUUAACGGUUGGGGAUAAAUUGUGCAUAAAACUAAUCAAAACAAUCAGAUCACAAUAUCAUAAACUUCGGGACAAUUCAAAGCAUGCAAUUCUGCAGAGGUAUUUUUUUCCAAUAUAAUACUUUUAUUGUCAAGUCUCGAUCUGAUUCUGACUUCCUAGCAUCAUGUCUCCGAUCUUGGGAAGAGCUACCAGCGGAGUUCUGUACACCUGCUGUAUAUUACAGCCAGUCCCAGUUCAUCGCACUUGAAACAUUUUGAAAGCAUCUACGAAUACAUUUUGUUGGCGAAUAGCUAUCAAUAGUAACCACACGGCAACUAACGAAAUAUAUUACACCGCCGACCCUUCGAUUGGAAUUAGUAACUGAUUUAUGCAACAGUUAAAGUGUUGGCGAAUAGUUUUUCCCUGGUUUACUAACUGACAUCUACGCUGCAUCCACAGUGUCUAACAUCAAAAGGCGUUAGAAACAAAUUUCCAAACUGAUAUCACGAACGAGAAACCAUUUCUUCCGUUAUUGAAAUACAUUCUAUUAUCAUGUAACUCGUAUAUUUAUAUGUGUACACGUGUAUAUAUGCAUAUACAUACGCAUAUGGGAAAAUAAUGAAACUAUAAGUAUGACAAUUAUUAUUCUCUGGGACUAAUUAAUCAAACCGUAAUUGUUUUGUAGAUUUCUAUUCCUUGCGGUACAGAAACUCACAGUUUGGUCUUGCCAAUCCUUUCCCCCGUUCUCUCGACAGUAGCCUCUAUCGUGAAAGAACUAUACGCUGCUGAAGAAAACAAUCCGAUUUCCUUCUGUCUACUUAAAUUGGAAAUAUUUUAGCCUUUAAAGUCAGCCUCUGAAUGACUGAAUUAUUUCUCACAGAGACGUGUGUACUCUAAUUCAUAUUUCAGGUCUUUCAGAUGUUGCUAUGUUGUAAACAACGUCAAGGUUUAAAAUGCAGUUGCUGGGCGUGUUGCAUAUUGUUGUUAUGCUGAAUUAGUAGACAGUAAUUCACAUUUUCUUUACAGAUAGUAGAGAUUGCACCAAAACCACUUUGCUCUAGUUGUGCUUUGCUAGUUUAUCAUGUAAUAUGUUGUACUCUUUAUGAAUAUUCUAUUACAAUUUACACAAUCACGUCAGCUUGGCUAUGAAUCAGAAGGUCAGGGGUUCAGCACAUUGGGACAUCUUUACAUGAGCCAUGAAAUGAGGGCCAUUUCAGUUGCUGAGAGGGAUGCAGAACAUCCCAUAAUGCUAUUUGAAAAGUAAAAGCAAUCUUCCCAGAUUCUAAUAUGACGAAAGGACAAAUGCAUCGACUAUUGUUCUCACUUUCGUCUGCAGGUUUGAUGCCACACUUUUCUGACAAACACGUGUGACUGCACUUCGAAAGUAAUUCAUUAUUUUGAAGGAGCUUUCAGCCUCCUUAAGGAAGACACUAUAAAGUAUAAAUGCAUACUUUUUCAUAAUUUGCAGCAGUAACUUUAGUUCUUUAUACUGAACCAUAAUUAUACAUAUAGAACAUAUAUUCAUGUGGCACCCUCCACUACCUCCAAGUAGCUUAAGAUGCUUCAUAUCAGUCACAUAAUUUAUACAUUAAAUUAGACAAAAAUGCUGAAUGAACAACUGUCCAAGCCAUGCUGUGGAUGCAACAUAAACACUAAUGUGUAGGAAGGAACUGCAGAUGCUGAUUAACACCAAAGAUAGGCACAGAAUGCUGGAGUAACUCAGCGGGACAGGCAGCAUCUCUGGAGAGAAGGAAUGGGUUGAUGAUUAAUGAUCCAAAUGUAUGGAUCCAUCUUAAUGUUAAGAGGUUAUUACCAAUGAAGCUUUAUAAAAGAACAGUGCUGGGGACAAUGGACAGAUUAACACUGAAGUACCUCUUGAAAUGUAGCUAUGUGUAUGCAUAAGGUUAUGCAAGGGUGAUGUUUCUGGGGUUUCUCCCAAUGUGCCACUUAUUGUUUGAUGACAUUUGACACAAUAUUCCUCUGGUGUCUCACAUGUUGAGACUAAAGUGGGAGAUUGGGCGUGUCUCCCAACGUUUUAAUUUUUCAAUACCAUCAUAUUAAGAAACUGAAUUGAAUUAUUUCCUUCCUGAUCAUAAAACAGCUACUUGAACAGUUAUUUAUAUUCUUUAAAAUGGUCCUUGUCUUCAUCAAAUAUACCAUUUUUUCACGCUCACAACACGAUAACUUAAAAUGCACCACCUUGUCACACGUGAAAGAUGUCAUUGUCAUGAAAAUGACAAACAGCAUUUCCGCCAACUAACACAAAAAAAACAACGAACACAGUUUUCCCGAUGUUGCUAUACCUUUAAAGUGUUGAUUAAAAUUAUACAUGCCAUAAAUGAAUAGAUGUGCUAUUAAUAGAUCCAUUACUUGAUGUUAAACUGAUGUGUUGUAAGUAGUGCUUUUUAUGUCCAUCCGUUACUUGAUUGGUUUAGCUUUGCUUUUAAAAAAUCUUAAAUUACAUAUCUUGCAAUAAUCAAAUGCUUGCAGAUAAGCCCAUAAUUUUUACUGUAGAAUAUUCAAGUAAUUCCCAUGCACAUAGGCUUUAUUAAUUAACUAUGGCAUUCAGUGAGGUGUGCUUUCACAUUA